AUUCGCCCCAGCCUAGAGAGGUCCCUCCCAGGCAAAACGUCUUAAAGGCAUAGUACAUCGGUUGCAAUACAUUUCCAACAUUGACAAUCACCGUGCCAUUAGCCAUUAAAUUAAGCACUGCUGUGCUUUAGGGGUGGCUGAAAGGAAGCAGCAAUUUACACAAGUAGCAGUGAGUUAUAACUCUACUGGUCCUUGUAAGAUUCCUCAUGAGCCAGAGGAACGAGACGUCCAUGGAAAAAGUAGUGGUUGGCAUGCAUCUGUCCCGGGACACAGAGGAGACAUCUGGACAUUUAGAGAUCACGUCUGUCUAUCAGGACAAAAAAAUCCAGGAUUCGGUCUCGGAACAGCCCUCAGAGGUGGAAGACGGGAAGGUCAUCAAGGUCACCAGCUCAGAUGCCGUGGUGCCCGAGCGCCGGCGCUCGUCGGUCCUCAGGAGAGUCUCCAACACCUGGUCCAAAGUCUUCUCCCGCACCUCCGUCGUGGGCGAAGACAAAUCUGCCCCUGGAGAUCAUCCCUGAGUGCAGGAUCCCUUCUUUAUAUAGCUGAGAGAAUAAAUAUUUUCAUGAGAAAUGGAGUUUUUUUUUU
rnacentral:lncRNA from 1 species